AUUGAACGCUGGCGGCAAGCCUAACCCAUGCAAGUCGAACGAGUGGCGGACGGGUGAGUAAUGUCUGGGAAACUGCCUGAUGGAGGGGGAUAACUACUGGAAACGGUAGCUAAUACCGCAUACCAUUGGAUGUGCCCAGAUGGGAUUAGCUAGUAGGUGGGGUAAAGGCUCACCUAGGCGACGAUCCCUAGCUGGUCUGAGAGGAUGACCAGCGACACGGGAACGUAUACACGGUCCAGACUCCUACGGGAGGCAGCAGUGGGGAAUAUUGCACAAGGGGCGCAGGCCUGAUGCAGCCAUGCCGCGUGUAUGAAGAAGGCCUUCGGGUUGCAAAGUACUUUCAGCGGGGAGGCGUUACCCGCAGAAGAAGCACCGGCUAACUCCGUGCCAGCAGCCGCGGUAAUUC
rnacentral:rRNA from 1 species